rnacentral:rRNA from 1 species
UUGAACGCUGGCGGCAUGCUUUACACAUGCAAGUCGAACGGCAGCGACGGGGGGCAACCCCUGGUGGCGAGUGGCGAACGGGUGAGUAAUACAUCGGAAUGUACCCAGUAGUGGGGGAUAACUAGUCGAAAGACUAGCUAAUACCGCAUACGCACUAUGGUGGAAAGCGGGGGAUCGCAAGACCUCGCGCUAUUGGAGCAGCCGAUGUCCGAUUAGGUAGUUGGUGGGGUAAAAGCCUACCAAGCCUGCGAUCGGUAACUGGGUCUGAGAGGACGACCAGUCACACUGGGACUGAGACACGGCCCAGACUCCUACGGGAGGCAGCAGUGGGGAAUUUUGGACAAUGGGCGAAAGCCUGAUCCAGCCAUGCCGCGUGAGUGAAGAAGGCCUUCGGGUUGUAAAGCUCUUUCGGCUGGGAAGAAAUCGCACAGGCUAAUACUCUGUGUGGAUGACGGUACCAGCAUAAGAAGCACCGGCUAACUACGUG